rnacentral:rRNA from 1 species
GGUAUGAGAUGGCGAUGCGUCCCAUUAGCUUGUUGGCGGGGUAACGGCCCACCAAGGCAUCGAUGGGUAGGGGUUCUGAGAGGAAGGUCCCCCACAUUGGAACUGAGACACGGUCCAAACUCCUACGGGAGGCAGCAGUGAGGAAUAUUGGUCAAUGGACGCAAGUCUGAACCAGCCAAGUAGCGUGCAGGAUGACGGCCCUCUGGGUUGUAAACUGCUUUUAGUUGGGAAUAAAGUGCAUCACGUGUGAUGUUUUGUAUGUACCAUCAGAAAAAGGACCGGCUAAUUCCGUGCCAGCAGCCGCGGUAAUACGGAAGGUCCAGGCGUUAUCCGGAUUUAUUGGGUUUAAAGGGAGCGCAGGCGGACCUUUAAGUCAGCUGUGAAAUACGGCGGCUCAACCGUCGAACUGCAGUUGAUACUGGAGGUCUUGAGUGCACACAGGGAUACUGGAAUUCAUGGUGUAGCGGUGAAAUGCUCAGAUAUCAUGAAGAACUCCGAUCGCGAAGGCAGGUAUCCGGGGUGCAACUGACGCUGAGGCUCGAAAGUGCGGGUAUCAAACAGGAUUAGAUACCCUGGUAGUCCGCACAGUAAACGAUGAAUACUCGCGAUUUGCGAUACACAGUAAGUCGCCAAGCGAAAGCGUUAAGUAUUCCACCUGGGGAGUAC